rnacentral:rRNA from 1 species
CGGGACGGGUGAGUAAUGUCUGGGAAACUGCCUGAUGGAGGGGGGUAACUACUGGAAACGGUAGCUAAUACCGCAUAACGUCGCAAGACCAAAGAGGGGGACCUUCGGGCCUCUUGCCAUCGGAUGUGCCCAGAUGGGAUUAGCUAGUAGGUGGGGUAACGGCUCACCUAGGCGACGAUCCCUAGCUGGUCUGAGAGGAUGACCAGCCACACUGGAACUGAGGCACGGUCCAG